rnacentral:rRNA from 1 species
GACGAACGCUGGCGGCGUGCUUAACACAUGCAAGUCGAACGGAAAGGCCCUGCUUUUGUGGGGUGCUCGAGUGGCGAACGGGUGAGUAACACGUGAGUAACCUGCCCUUGACUUUGGGAUAACUUCAGGAAACUGGGGCUAAUACCGGAUAGGAGCUCCUGCUGCAUGGUGGGGGUUGGAACGUUUCGGCGGUUGGGGAUGGACGCGCGGCUUAUCAGCUUGUUGGUGGGGUAGUGGCUUACCAAGGCUUUGACGGGUAGCCGGCCUGAGAGGGUGACCGGCCACAUUGGGACUGAGAUACGGCCCAGACUCCUACGGGAGGCAGCAGUGGGGAAUAUUGCACAAUGGGCGGAAGCCUGAUGCAGCAACGCCGCGUGCGGGAUGACGGCCUUCGGGUUGUAAACCGCUUUCGCCUGUGACGAAGCGUGAGUGACGGUAAUGGGUAAAGAAGCACCGGCUAACUACGUG